rnacentral:lncRNA from 1 species
CUUCUUCUUCUCCUUCUCCUUCUUCUUUUCUUCUUCUUCUCCUCUUCCUUCUUAUUCUCCUCCUCCUCCUCCUCCUCCUCCUUAUUUUACUUCUUCUUCUCUAUCUCUUCUUCUACGUAGCUUAGACUUAUCCAAGAAAGGCUAAAUUGGCUAAUUAUCCUACAAAAUGACAUAAUUAGCUUAGUUAGCUCCAAAAUGUCCUAUUUAAUAAAAAAU